rnacentral:rRNA from 1 species
GACGAACGCUGGCGGCGUGCCUAAUACAUGCAAGUAGAACGCUGAAGAGAGGAGCUUGCUCUUCUUGGAUUAGUUGCGAACGGGUGAGUAACGCGUAGGUAACCUGCCUUGUAGCGGGGGAUAACUAUUGGAAACGAUAGCUAAUACCGCAUAACAAUGGAUGACCCAUGUCAUUUAUUUGAAAGGGGCAAAUGCUCCACUACAAGAUGGACCUGCGUUGUAUUAGCUAGUAGGUUAGGUAACGGCUCACCUAGGCCACGAUACAUAGCCGACCUGAGAGGGUGAUCGGCCACACUGGGACUGGAACACGGCCCAGACCCCUACCGGAGGCAGCAGUAGGGAAUCCUCGGCAAUGGGGGCAACCCUGACCGAGCAACGCCGCGUGAGUGAAGAAGGUUUUCGGAUCGUAAAGCUCUGUUGUAAGUCAAGAACGAGUGUGAGAGUGGAAAGUUCACACUGUGACGGUAGCUUACCAGAAAGGGACGGCUAACUACGUG